ACUGUGCAAUCAGUGAUCUGCAACAUGCAGGCAGUGUGGUUGCCACCCCUUCCCUCUCUUCUAGUCAUUUCCUCCUACCCCUGCCAGAGAUCCCAGCUCACAGCUGUGCCUUUUGUCCCCAGCGGCGCCUGGAGCUCGAGCUCCACUUGUUCCACCCUCCCUACGCCCCUGCCUGCAAAUCAAUCCACACAACCUUGGAAUAAAACGAUUAAACCACAAGUUCCAGGUACACCACAACAUUCAACUCAGCAGCAGCAUCAAUAACCUGAAAAUCAAAGUAUAAUGCACUUAUAAUGAUACUUAAAGCCACUUUUGGACAAUACCCUUUCUUUAAAUAGAUCCCCUUUAUUAUGUUUGGUGAGAAUCCUCUUGCUAUGGUAUCUAACCUGGGAAAAUAGCUUGAUCUGAUUGGUCCUGACAUCUACCCAAUCAGAUGCCUCAUUCACAACAAAAGCCCAAUUUGGAUUAUACUCUCUGUCUUGACAGCAUCAAAGCUUCUCAGAUUCUUCUCAUGAUACAGUGACAAUCCUCUGGGAUCCAGCCAUAGUGCAAUAAGAUACUGUACAACACUACAUAAAGAGAGACUAGUGUUGAACAGUGGGCAACCCCUUAAACUAAACUUGAGCAGUAAUGACUUUAGAAUAACACUAGUCAUGUAUAUUCUGUAUAAGACAUAUUAUCAUCCAUGUACAUAUAGAUAGAGGCUUAAAUAAAUAAGGUACUUAAGCAACUUAUUGUUCUUUACAAUCUGUUCAUUCCCCUCUAUAACCCAAUCUAAAACCUCUCGGCCGUUCUUUUGAAAAACCUAAAUAAACGUUUCCUUUUACCAUC